UACCAGACUCCUACGGGAGGCAGCAGUGGGGAAUAUUGCACAAUGGGGGAAACCCUGAUGCAGCGACGCCGCGUGAAGGAAGAAGCAUUUCGGUAUGUAAACUUCUAUCAGCAGGGAAGAAAAUGACGGUACCUGACUAAGAAGCCCCGGCUAACUACGUGCCAGCAGCCGCGGUAAUACGUAGGGGGCAAGCGUUAUCCGGAUUUACUGGGUGUAAAGGGAGCGUAGGCGGCGAUGCAAGUCAGAAGUGAAAGCCCGGGGCUCAACUCCGGGACUGCUCUGGAAACUGCGUCGCUGGAGUACGGGAGGGGCAGGCGGAAUUCCUGGUGUAGCGGUGAAAUGCAUAGAUAUCAGGAGGAACACCGGCGGCGAAGGCGGCCUGCUGGACCGUGACUGACGUUGAGGCUCGAGAGCGUGGGGAGCAAACAGGAUUAGAUACCCUAGUA
rnacentral:rRNA from 1 species